GGCGGUCCGCUGCCCGCGACGUCGAAAGAAGUCCACUGAACCUUAUCAUUUAGAGGAAGGAGAAGUCGUAACAAGGUUUCCGUAGGUGAACCUGCGGAAGGA
rnacentral:rRNA from 1 species